UACGUAGGGUCCGAGCGUUGUCCGGAAUUACUGGGCGUAAAGAGCUCGUAGGUGGUUUGUCGCGUUGUUCGUGAAAACUCACAGCUCAACUGUGGGCGUGCGGGCGAUACGGGCAGACUGGAGUACUGCAGGGGAGACUGGAAUUCCUGGUGUAGCGGUGGAAUGCGCAGAUAUCAGGAGGAACACCGGUGGCGAAGGCGGGUCUCUGGGCAGUAACUGACGCUGAGGAGCGAAGGCCAGGGGAGCAAACGGG
rnacentral:rRNA from 1 species